rnacentral:tRNA from 1 species
GAAGGGGUAGCUCAGUGGUAGAGCGUGUGCUUAGCAUGCACAAGGUCCUGGGUUCAAUCCCCAGUACCUCCC